AUACUUACCUGGACCGGGUUGAUGGGCGACCAUAAGGCCCAUGGCCUAGAUUGGCGACUUCCAUUGCACUCAGGAGGGGCGCCUGUUUAAGGUCGGCCCAACUGGUCGAGCCUAUGUCAUAAUUUGUGUUAGAGGGGUCCUGCGUUCGCGCAGUCCCUGC